rnacentral:rRNA from 1 species
UAGGGAAUCUUCGGCAAUGGACGAAAGUCUGACCGAGCAACGCCGCGGGAGUGAAGAAGGUUUUCGGAUCGUAAAACUCUGUUGUUAGAGAAGAACAAGGACGUUAGUAACUGAACGUCCCCUGACGGUAUCUAACCAGAAAGCCACGGCUAACUACGUGCCAGCAGCCGCGGUAAUACGGAGGUGGCAAGCGUUGUCCGGAUUUAUUGGGCGUAAAGCGAGCGCAGGCGGUUUCUUAAGUCUGAUGUGAAAGCCCCCGGCUCAACCGGGGAGGGUCAUUGGAAACUGGGAGACUUGAGUGCGGAAGAGGAGAGUGGAAUUCCAUGUGUAGCGGUGAAAUGCGUAGAUAUAUGGGGGAACACCAGUGGCGAAGGCGGCUCUCUGGUCUGUAACUGACGCUGAGGCUCGAAAGCGUGGGGAGCAAACAGG